rnacentral:lncRNA from 10 species
GUUUGCCUGGGCUGGAAGAAUGGGUACAUUAGAUGUAUUCCAAACAGCCAGCUUGGGCAUGAAUACACUGCCCCAUCAGCUUUCUGGGAACUGGCACAAUAAAAUCACUUCCUGAAGUUAGAAGGUAGAGAGAACUCCAACAAGGGUAUAAAUAGUGCACAGAGUAGUUCUGCUAAAACGACAGGAUCCAGAGACACUCUCAGUCUUGGAAAUCCUACCAACAAGGAUUCAGAAAUAGAACGGGAGGAAAACACAAGAAUGCUGAGAAGCAGUAGUCUAUGGCAUCACAAGCGUCACAAGAGCAGCAUGUUUGAAGAAAGAGGAGGUUGCCAUCUGUGUUCAACGUGGCUGAGAGGUGGAGUAAGAAGACAGCAAAGUGUGCAGUGGAUGUGGAGAUGCAAGGCACACAGGCAAGCAUAACAAGAGCAGCUUCAACAGAGUAGGAGGAAACCCAGGGCAGUGCCUGGACAGCUGCUCCUCUUUCUCCUCACCCUUCCAGAAAGUGCCACGCCUCCCACUGCCCUGGAUGCCCCAUCACUUGCAUAUUCAUACCUACCCUAAAAUACUUGAAUGUAGCGGUAGGUUUCUUUUUGCUUGUAUUCUGUAACGGAAAAAGUGGAAUUAUUACCUGUUUUUUUAUUUAGCUGAUUGCACAAGCUUUUGACAAUUCUAUCAUUUUUCUGACAUCUCUCCCUCUCUGAGAAGAUGAGAAAGAGAAACCAUAAUAAAAUUGCGUCAAUCCCUAUCGUUGAAACAGGUCUUUAUUGUUUCUCAUUAACCUGAGCUUUCUGGAGGGUCCAAGGAUGAAAGCUUGAGGUGCAGCCAACCAGUGCUAAAAUCCUAAACCUCACACUCUGUGUGUAUGUGACACACUCAUGCACACACACACACACACAAAUGUGAAAGGCUCUCUUUCCCUUCCUCCUUUCCUUGUCUCUUGCAAGGUUGAACAGAUUGGUCAUUUUAACCCCAUUAUGACUUCAAUAAAGAGAAGUCAGCCUAAAGAGGGGCAGGGAAUGGGCACAGAAACCAGGUCCUGUGCUCCCCUAGGGAGCGGCUGUGUCUCAACUCAUGAGAUCUUGAAAAUAUUUCCCCCUUCCUAAAAAUUAUUCUCUUCCAGCAAAAAUAGCUUCUAAACUAUGGAAGCUCUGAUGUGCACAAGGAUUUCAAAAUGUCCCUAAUGAAGAUUAUAAUUAAAAUAUUUAAAUGGGUUUUUAAUUUUCUUUCUGGGCUGUGUUAUUUCCUAGUCCUCUUCAGGAGCUCCUAUUGUUCAGUCAUGACAGAAUCCUCUGUCAGAAAUUAUAGCCUGCUGCCUUUCAGCAUCUUCAUUAAAAUGCAGUGCUGCCAGAUAUAUCUGCAUGCAUAUGAAUGAAGCAUCUAUAGAAUAAUUAAGUCAUGAAUAACACAUUGCUGAGCAUGGCUUUUCCUGAAUAAAAAAAGAAUGCUAUUUAUGAACCCAGAAAUUUUAUAUUAUAUUAAAAAAUAAUUGGCAAUAACAAGUAUCAUUUGAGGAUUCAUUAAUUUAAAUUAUGAUUUCCCUGCUAUAAACUCCAUUUUUAAUAAAAUGGCAAUUUACAUUGGAAAAUGAAUGUGAACCUAUAUGCAAUUUUUCUUCAUUUUGCUUAAAAGGCCACCCGAAAGCUUUUGGCAAUGGGGGUUGCAUAAUUUGAAAAUCUUUUAGGUCUAUUAUAAACAAAAGGCCAUUAGCAUCACAGCAAGUUAACAGGCCUGAGUUCAAACAAAUAGUGACAUAUCAAUGGAAAAACAUAGACAGUAUUUGUGAUAUUAUAAAAUAUUUAUUUUUGGCUGUGUCCAUGGUUUCUAGCUCACAGCUCCUAUAGCCUUUAUAAUUUCCUAAGUAACUAGAAUGAUAAGGAUAUUUUUUGUUAAACUAUUUGGCCUUUUGUCUUCAGUUCCCAGAAACAGCUUCAGAGUAGCUCCAGAGUGAUGAAGGUGAAACCAGCAUUUCUGUUAUUUAUAACAAGCCCCUUUCAACCACACCUGAGACUAUGUUAAUGAGGUGAUUUUUGGAAAAUCCCUAGAUAACUACAGGAUGAAGGGUUGGUUGCCAAGGGGACUUACUGUGUGCUUAGAGGGUUGAGACUCACAGCCCCACACCCCAUCUCACAUCCAGAGAAGGAGAGAGGCUGAAGUUUAAGUUGAUCACCAGUGGCCAACAAUUUAAUCAAUCAUGUCUACAUAAUGAAGCCUCCAUAAAGUACCAGAAGAGCUGAGUUCAGGGAGCUUCCAAAUUGGUGAACAAGAAUACAUUAACCUGCUGGAAGGGUGGCACCCUCCACCUCCACAGGGACAGAGGCUCCUGGGCUUGGGACAUUUCCAAACCUUCUUU